CUGAUAUUAACAUGAUUCAUAACACAGCAUGACUAAGGAAAAGAAGAGGAUAUAUUAAUUAACAUGAUUCAUAACGCAGCAUGACUAAGGUAAAGAAGAGGAUAUAUUAAUUAACAUGAUUCAUAACGCAGCAUGACUAAGGUAAAGAGGAAGAGGAUAUAUUAAUUAACAUGAUUCAUAACGCAGCAUGACUAAGGUAAAGAAGAAGAGGAUAUAUUAAUUAACAUGAUUCAUAACGCAGCAUGACUAAGGUAAAGAAGAAGAGGAUAUAUUAAUUAACAUGAUUCAUAACACAGCAUGACUAAGGUAAAGAAGAAGAGGAUAUAUUAAUUAACAUGAUUCAUAACGCAGCAUGACUAAGGUAAAGAAGAAGAGGAUAUAUUAAUUAACAUGAUUCAUAACACAGCAUGACUAAGGUAAAGA